CGGUGUCUAUGCUGGGAAACUUUUACAGAGUGAGCUCAGAGUCCUUUCUCUUCUUCUGAAUGCUGAAGUUAUUUUGUUUAAGGCAUCAGCAUCUUUAUAGAGAAGGAUCUGAAAGAGCCUGAAGUGGAGCUGUGCUGGCCAGAUCAGGGACAGGGUAAUCCCUGGGUGCUGUGCAUUUAAAACAGAGGCCCUGAGGUGUCAUCAGUCUCACCAGAGACUCCUCCCAUUUUUCCCGAUAAAUGACGAACCCUGAAGAAGAGCUGUUCCCGACACGGGGAACACAUGUGCUUAGCAGAACCAAGCUGUUUCUUUUGCCUACGAAAGGACACUGCUGUGUGAGGAGGAGCCACCCUUGCAAGCCUCUGAAGCACCUGAGAAGGCCCUGCAGUUCUCUGCAUUUGAUGGCAUCAUCAAGUUAACAUGGAUAAAAGGAGCAGUUCUUUUUUAUGUUCUUAUGACAUUUUUAGGACUAGAUCUUUGUGAUUUUGCAUUGUACCUUCAGACAAAUCCUGUUUCCAUGGCUCUGGCUGUGAUGGCUUUUCAUUUGCUCUGCAUCAGAAGGACACUACAGAACUGUGGCACUAAAAGUUACAUUGGACCAUAAAGAUGAAAGGAAAGGAAAGCAAAAAAAAAAAAAAAAAGUAUGCUGUUUUUAAGAUCAGAGGACAACCUAAGAACCACAUUAACCAUAAUGAAAAUGAAAUUUGAAAAGAAUUGCUUACAGUACUUAAAACAGUACUCCACUAUGAGAAAAGAGGUGGGAGAAUUAUCGAAGACAAUUUUUUAAAAUCCUUUGUAGCCAUUCAGAAAUGGUUUCUAAGCAACCAGAACAUGCAGAUAGCCCCAGGAGUAAGAGGUAUUAUGAAUGCUUGGAGACACAAAGAGGAAGAGAAGGAUGAAACAGAGCUGGAAUCAGGCUGGAUAGAUGCUGGAGUGGAGGGCUCUCCCUGCUUAGCACCAGCACUGCAGCUGUGAGGCAGAGGGUGAGCUGCCUCACCAUGAGAAGAUGCACCAAAAGAAGGAAAGUGAAGGGUGUAAGAACUUAAAUGAACAACAUAAGCUUUGUAUCACUCUUUGAGACCUCUCAUUAAAAAUGGGUGAGAGUGCAAAUCUUGCUGUAUGUAAUUAUCUUUAUUUUCCAGAAGACUGACAUUUAGAGUUCCCAUGUACUUUAUUCUAGCUGUUUAAGAAAUGUUCUUGUUAGCUUUUGUCCCGAGCAGUAAUUGUUCACUUUUUAUUCUGGCAAAUCUUUCAUUAAUGGCUGAAUUUAAACACUAAGGAGAAAGAUGA